rnacentral:rRNA from 1 species
UACGGAGGAUGCAAGCGUUAUCCGGAAUGAUUGGGCGUAAAGCGUCCGCAGGUGGCUAUGUAAGUCUGCUGUUAAAGAGUGAGGCUCAACCUCAUAAGAGCAGUGGAAACUACAUGGCUAGAGUGCGUUCGGGGCAGAGGGAAUUCCUGGUGUAGCGGUGAAAUGCGUAGAGAUCGGGAAGAACAUCAGUGGCGAAGGCGGCCUGCUGGGCUGUUGCUGACGCUGAGGCGCGACAGCGUGGGGAGCAAACAGG